UACCUUACAGUAACGGAUGAAAUAGAACCAACGACAGACAAAUCAACACUAUCUGAACUCACAUAUGAAGCGCCGGAUGACGCAGCUGAUGUUAUAUCACUAAUAGCAGGAAUCAUAGUAACUGUAAUUCAAGCAGUAAUCGAAGCCUUAAGUGGAGUCGUUGCUAUGACCAUAGUUACGACAAAAAUGUUCAAAGUGUUUCAAAACAGUAGUAGAAAAGAAGAGAUUGAUUGUAACGACGUUGAAAACUUUUACGAUACCGCCCAGGAAAUAAGAGACGAAAUGUGUGUACGGGAUGAUGAUGACGAUGCAAAUUUCCAGAUCAAUCUAGUAGCGAACAAUAUACCACCAUUGGAUCAUAAGAUGUAUAACAUGCAUUAAUUGAUGUUAAA